rfam:Bombyx mori DNA, contig: Bm_scaf16265_contig61475, strain: p50T/Dazao, build 2, whole genome shotgun sequence.
GGCUUUGGAGUCUAAGGAAAUUAGGUCGGAUACAUACGAAUUAGUGUGUUUGCGACGCUGUCUUCGUGAUCAAGCCU